UGAAAUAUCAUUCAUAUAAAAGUACUUAUCAUAUCGCGAAGUACACGAAAAUAUCGUACAUAAUAGGAAAUUAUAUAUUUUGAUUUGAAAUGGAAGAACUACGUACAAAACACAAGUCUCUUCAAAGUGCAGCUCACCAUAUAGCUUUGGAGUGUAUUCAUCCUCAGUACCGUUUGUCUCAUGUCUGUGCCUGGAGCAGUCGAUCCACGGGUCUCCGUACCACGUCCACCCGUAUCCCUCCCCAGUACGUCUGCAGCAUGCAUUCGGGUCGCAGCACAGCCCUAAAAUGUUCCAUCCUAAGGGACUCAAACCCCACAUUGAUGGGCGAGCAUACAACACACCGAAUGAGAGUCCGAUACUGGGUCGGGCGCUAUGCCUCACGCCCCGCGGCAGUCCUGUCCCGGGGCGGGUCUCGCACCUCAACGAGAAAUUCCAGGACUCCCUCACCCUCACAUCGGACACCGACGCCCUCGUUGCCAAGAUCAGUGCCAUGUUCCCCACCGUCAGUGAAACGCAUAUCAAGAUAUUGCUGAAGAAGUAUUACAAUCGCGAGGCGGUGGUGAUAAGCGCGUUGCAAGUCGAGAAGCACCCGAUAACGACCCCGGGGCCUCUCAGCAUGUCCCCUUCGGCUGCGAGACUGCAGAAGAGCGCCGUUGGAGUGUACUCGGCCCUCGCGCUCGCCAAAGGAGUCUCCGGGUCGAUGCAGGGCUCCAGCCACUUCACUCCGCUGACCGGUACGCCGCAUGGAUCCCCGAUGCUUCUGAGGCCUGCAUCGGGGGCCUCCAGUUACUACGGCACCAACAAAUCCAGCGACGGCCAGCCAGCCAGACACCAGUCGCCGAAGAUGAAGCUCAAGUAUCUAAAAAGCAUAUUUACGAAGGCAGAAGAAACUUUAAUCCUGGAUGUCCUAGCGAAUAAGGACAACAAUGUACAGAAGGCGAGCGAAGAGUUGAUCAGCAUGGGGUUCACGAGGAAGGAACCAGUGAUGCAAGAGAAACCAAGAAAAGAGAAAGAGACGCCGCAACCGCCGAAGAAAGUUGUCACUAUCAUGAAGACUUUAGAAGAGAAGAAUCAGUUAAAGCUGAAGUUACAAAAGAAGUACAGUUCGGUUGCGGAGCGGGUGAUCGCGAUAGCAUUGGAGAGCGUAGAAUACAACGAGGAGCGGGCCGAGCAAAUACUCUCCGCUGUGCUACUGGAAGACGAACCGCCUAAGGUGACAAGAGUGGAGUCGAAGGAAACGAAAAGGUCGUGUCCAGUUGAGGCGAAAAAAGGGCCAAUUUUGAAGUCGGGGUCGACACCGGAGAACAAGUAUAAGUCGCAGUUCGCGGCCGCAGCUGCCGGGCCCAACCCUUCGCUCCGACAGGGGCCCAAGGACAGCCUUCUUUUAGAAGACUAUAUGGCGUGGACUGGGCCGAACCCUGACCUGCGGCUAGGGCAGUCGGUAAAGACUGAGGGUCCAGAGCCUCGAGACAAGAAGUUCUCCCUCGCCCGAGGUCCCGCGGGCCUCGCAAAAGGACCAUCCAGCCUGGCUAAGGGGUCCAUUUAUCAAAAACUUAACAAAAAGUCUGCAAAAAUCAUUGGUUAAGAUGUUUGAAGCGAGCUUGAAUGAAAACUGUCGCCAUCCGAUCAAUUUAUCAAAGAUUAUUAUAUACUAUUUCAUAUUUUUUUAAACUAUAUGUGUAUGUAUGACGUAACGCAAUAUGUAUUAGCAAUGUUUUUGAAAUGAAUUUCAUUGUGUUUUCGAAUGUAUUGAGUAAUAAAGUUUUUCGACGUUACAAUAUGAUGCAAAUUUUUGGACAAAAUUAUGGCAAUUUAAUACAGUAUUAUGGAUAUGGACGACUAAAGUACAUGAUAUUUGUAAAUAAUAAUAAAUAGGUAUAAGCUUCAAUAGUCGGCAACACGAUGCACUAUUAGUGUAAGAGCCAUACAUUAUUAAGCGAUAAUUAAUAACAAAUACUACAAAAUUCAAAAUGGCGGAUAAACAAUCGGACAGCGAUGUGAUUCGUCCUGGAUCAGAAUCCUCACGACUCGCUAUUUGUCCGGUCAAGUGAAUGCGAUCCAAGGCAAAUCUUCCAUAAAGUCAUGUUAGUAAAAUAAAAUCAACUAUACAUUUCAGUCUUAAUAAGAUAAAACUACGCCUUAUAAAAUACUAUUUUUUGCCAAAGUGUAUAUGUAAUUUUGUAUAGCAUCCCAAUAGCGAAUGUAAACAUAGCUCCAUUUAAUUCAUAAGUACCUCGAAUGCCGUCUCUAGUGUCGUAGUUAUCGGUUUCUAGACUUAAUUGUUAUUUAUAAUAUAAAAAAUGUAGUUGCCAGUAGCGGAACUCUAGCUAAGGCGUUUUUAGGUUCAAGAAGGGGUCGCACGCGUUCGAGUAAGUUAUACACGCUUACUGUGGAAUGGUAACCCUGUGUGACUUAUUUGAAAGUGUGAGACGCCAUUACCACGGGGACAUGCCUUCCAGGCAUUACUGAGCACCGGUACAACGUAGCAAGAUACAUAAUGAUUAGCUUAAUUCGCAAGUGUCUAAGGCAAGUCGCACUUAGGACGCGUUUUCGUACGAAUUAUUUUCGUGCAAUCCGAAGUACUAUAGGAAUAUGAGAGAUUGAGAGCACGCACUUUGGGCGUCGUAGUAAUGUUCGUACAUGCAUGACCCUCUGCAGAGAGAGACAGACAAUCCGCGCGCGCUCUCUCUUACUCCUUGGCAGCUUUCGGCCAUUUAAACUAAAGUAAGAUAAAGAGGGGAUAAGGUAAAUCUAGCCCGACGCCCGAUACAAAUUGGUGCGGAGUGAAAAGUUGUUGUUGUUGUUGGUUUACUAUACGCAAUAUUCUUUACUCUAUGACACGACGCAAAUUAACUAGUACGAAAACGCAUCCAAAGUGCGAACUACUUUAAACUGCUAAAAAUAGACAUCGGUACUUAAUUGUCAUAAUAUUUUGUGGUUAUUCUGUGUAGUAUAUACAAACUAGAUUAAGGUCAUGAUAUGGUGAUAGUUUAGUCUGAUCGUGAGUCCGUUUUACACCUACACUCCCGAUUAGGCUGAACUUUAGUUUACUUUAGCUAAGUCUAGUCAAAGUAAUCUGAAUAAGUUGAGAUUUUCUAUUUAUACCACAUAACUCAUCAUCGUCAGUGGUUUAAGAGCCACGCUCUUGUUGGUGUAGCAUUCUCCAUGAUACUUUUUUAGGGAAUAAUAGGGCAGUGGUUUCCCUCUUGCCUUCCACCCCCUUCCCGCAGCACUCUGUCUGACUGACGUGAGUGAGAUGACGUCCAGAGUAGUCUAUUUCAACACCGUACUCGUCCGCCCCUGAUUAGUACUGACAGUCCCUGUGACUUGACCCUUCCGUCGUGCAUUGCUGUACCGAUGGCUCCCAUCUUCGCCUCUGCAACCGUUGAGGUCUUCACCCGUAUCCCUGGGCACGGGUUCUACGUUAUACCUUGUAGGUCCGGGUCAAACUAUUGGGUAAACCAAUGAUUUUCGAAUUCAUGUUUGGAUUAUAAAUUAUUAUCACGUGCCCAGCGGUGAAGAAAAACAUCGUGAGGAACCACAUUCCCAAGAAAUGCGUUUCGGAGGUAUGUGACUUAGCCUUCAUUGGGCUGGUUUCCUUUCGCGGGUUGAAAGUUCAGACAGGCUGUCGCUUCUGUAAAAAACCGGACCUGACAAAUCCUCAGGUUAGGUAAGCGGACCCCAUGCAAAUGGAUGGUGGUUGGAUGGAUUAUACGUUAGUGAGAUGAUGAAUUGAUGACGCCUAUUCAUUUCUAGUCCCUUUUUAGCUUGUUUAAAAGCAUGAAUUGUAAGCUAAGUAUUUGAAAUGAAUUUAUAGAUUUAGAGAAGAAUUGGGGAAAAAAAAAGUUGUGAUCAAAAGUCUUAUGUUUGAAGCGUUUUACCUGGUUGGUGGACGACGAUGUAUAGUUAAGUACCCUAGCUUAGAAUAAGUAGAGUAAUUGUAGAUUAAACCUCAUUGCCAAACUACACGUUACCAAUGUUGCUUUAUUAAUCAUGAUAAAUUACAUUACACAAUCGAAAAAAAUAUAUAUCUAAAGAUAAGGCUAUCUCAGAUCAAUGGGUAAAAUUGAAAUUCCAAAAUUAAAUCUACAAAUUGAACCAAUUCGGGGCAUAUCAUAACUGUACUCGGAAAUUCGACUUGGCUUGAAAUAAUUUAAUUAAAAUAGAUAGGUUUAAGUAAGUAUAAACACUAAGGAAUUCAAAAAACGUAAACAGUAACUGAACGAAUAAAUGUCUAAAUCGACUGCUCUUUCGGCAGAACCACUGAACCAUUAAAAUCUGUUUGAGUCUGAAUUCAUGUUUGGACCAUAUACGAGGUGUUAGUGACAUCGUAACGAAAACUGAGGGAUGGUUCAAACUAUGAUUCUGAGUUGAUAUCAAGUAGAAUUUUCGUGUUUUUUUAAAUUAUUUUAAUUCUGUUUUAUUUUAAAUACUUUUACGAUAUAAAAUUCCACUUGAUAUUAAGUCGGAAUCAUGGUCUGAAUCAUCCCUCUCAGUUUUCGUUAUGAUAUCACUAACACCCUGUAUAAUUUAUAUCACGUACCUCACAGUAACGGCAGCAGCAUGUCGCAAAAUAGAUAAAAUAUCACGUGAUAUCUAAAUAAUAUUAAAGUAAUAUCGUCAUAAGUAAGUUGAGCACUACUCGGUACCUGAAUUGUACUAGUUUACUUAUCGCUUUAGCAAUAUAAAGUAUUAAUUAGGAAAGUAAUACAUAAUACCCUUGAUUUUAUCAAUUUAUAGUAAAUGAUAAAUGAAUGAAUGUGAAAUGUAACUCGCAUUAUACUUAUACUUGUGAGUUGUAUAUGGUAGGUACGAACGUCUAACAAAAAACUUGCGUAUUGCGUUAGUAUCGAAUUCGAGUAAAGUCCAAAUGGGGGGAGGGUCCGACAGAAUAUUUUAUAGUGAACACCGCGCCCGACGACGGACAGAAGUAUAAUUGAUGGAAUUCCAUGUGUACACAAAAUCGAUUCUUCGAUUGUGAGGUGGACGACCAACAUCGGCAACCCUGGCGUCAGGGUUAUUAUUGACCCGCCAAAGGCCCCGACAUGGCUCAUGUAACCACGAGCUAUCAUCAGUAAGUACCCGGGACCAACGGCUUAACGUGCCUGCCACGGAUCAUCUUACUUUCGGACUAUCGGGUCAUCACUCCGUAAUGUACUUACCAAACCAGGGUCCACAACCAGGGUUUUCAUGGUAUGUCCCCACCGGAAUACGAACGGGAGACGUUACCUCCGGAUCGUAAGGAGGCCGUUCCAAAGGCGAUACGCAAGUUUAUGCCGCACUAACAGGUACCUAACGUUUCCCUUCAAUCGUAGAGAGCAUAAAUAAGCCUUAAACCCUCGCUAAGGUCGCUGAAAGACCAAAUGAUUCAUGGUUAAUAAAGUAAUAGUGACGUCCCACCUCCUGCGUUGUGUCCUGUUCUUCCGUUCUCGCUCGUAAAAAGCAAUAUUUAGGCAAUUUAAAUCUACAGCCCUCCAUUGUUUGUCAUCGAACUUUAACCUAAAACUGACAAUAGUUGAUUUAUUUUUGUAAUGUCUACGUUAACGAUAAGUAUGUUGUCUAAUGUUAACUUUUGUGCAAUAUCGGCAGUUUGUAGUGUAGGUAGUCCAAAGACCUUGUAUAGAAUAGACGGAUAAUAUUUUAGAGUGACGAUCAAACUAUCACAGCUCUCUUUCUUCCCUAUGGCAACAAUCUCUGUGGAAAAAAGAAACAAACAUAGACAAACACCGCUGUCUAGAACGUCAGUGUUGACCGUUUUGAGAUGUUGUGGUAGCCAGCUGGAUACCAAACCUGCCGUUAGUUUUUUGGUGUUUUGAGACAUUAUUUUAACUUUUUAUAUAAAAAAUCUGUGAAAUAGUUAUUCAUUAUGAACCAUGGCUUGCGAAGCUAUUGGUUGUGAGAGUAGAAUGGGUGUUAUAAUGGAGAACGAUCAAAUAAUGUCUCACCAUGGGUAAGUUAUCGACCACAUAAUACAUGUUUGUGUGCAAGAAAUACAUUACCUGGUCUGGUUUUUGUAAAGUUUAUUGAGCCCUAAACACGAUGCAGACGCAUAUUUUCAGCAAAGCCGUCACAUUUGUACAAAUAAUUGAUUUCACAUUUUACGUUAAUCAGCUUUGACAGAUCAUGUACCCAAAGUAUUAUAAGUAGUGUUGUCCUUUGAUGUCGAUAACAUAAUAUUAUGUUUGAAUGUAACAUCUACAUGUUGCGUUAUUCUAUUCACGUUUAAUUUAUUUUUCGACCUGUUUCCGAUUUGGAUGAAGAUUACAUAAAGAUAUUGUAUUUUCCAGAUUUCCUAAACAUCCUAAUUUACGAAACAAGAAAUUAAGAAACAAUUAGAUUCACACCAUGAAACGAGAUGAUUCUCUCUUCUGAAGGACGCCUUCUCCUUAUUUAAGCCUGUGCUAAUUACAUUUCGAUGUAUCUUGCUUUCUAUCGAGCAGGAUACCAAACAAAAAUAUUACAUAGAGAUGCAGUACCAACAAUAUUCACUCACAUAUCUCACAUAAGGUAAAGUUAUAACGACCAGAGCCGACACUAUACACUUCUAAAGAAAGUGAACAAGAGGAAAUAUUUUUUUUUAUCACCAAAAGUCGGAAUUGUUCAGUGCUUCGUAGUCAUUGUAUUCUAACUAUAUUGAAUAAAAAUCUUAUAAAGAAGUGCUUUUAUUCUUUAAUCGCAUUGAGAUAAUCCCCGAAAUAUACUAGAAGGUCGUCUACUUCUUGUAUCGAGAGCCGAUUCGAUUUCCGGUCAAGUCAAUGAAAAACGUGUAUUUAACUUUUAUAAAAGGGUAGGUAUGUGAUUUAUAGCAACCAAAGGGUGGCCGCAAUGUCGUAUUAAAAUUAUACUAUAGUAUAUGUGGACUAGAUGGACCGUCCUCGACCUCCUCGGCCAUAACACCUUGCGAAAUGACAUAGAUUCAAAAAUGAUAAAUUGACCUUUAACAAGUUUGUCCAUGAUAAUUACGUUGAAUAAGUGGUUCUGAAUCUGUCACCGCAACGUACGGUUCUUCUUAGGUAUCUUUCUAUCAGGGUACAAAUAGGUAUCGUUUUAACUAAUUUAAGUACUUGUGGUUCUACCCACCCAGGUAUGGAUACUAGGUCGUUAUUUCUGUAUUUAAUUAAUCAUUCAAUUUGUAAUGUAUAUUUUUUUAGAUCUUGGACUAACAUGAAAUAUUUAGCCGAUAAUAAUGUCGAUAAAGACAUGGAACGGCACUAGUGGUUCUGAUACAAAAACAUAUACUAUAGGUACGUUUCUAUAACAAACCCGCUACGUGAGUACAAAAGACGUUACGACGAUAGUAUAUUUAUCUCUUUUAAACUUAUGACGGCUCACAUGAGUGCGAAAGACAAAACCUAUGUUUUUCUUUCGUCUUAAAUAUGCUCCGUCUAUUCUAUACAAGGUCUUUGAGGUAGUCGCACGAGAUAGUGUUGCCAAUACUAAAAAUAAACAUAGAUAAUUACGUAAUUAGUAAAGAAAUAAUUUUCUUCGUUUUCCAAAUAUUUCUAGAAAUAACAUCACCCUUGUACCUACUUAAAUAGCCUUGUAUAACUAUGUACCUUAUAUUGUCUUGUGUUCAUUAAACUUAUGUAAUUUUCGAACAACUAAAUGAUUUCUGUGUAACAUAAAGAAUGUAAAUUGGGGGUUAAAAAGGCGACAUCGAAGCAAUUCAUCUAAAAAAGCAAUAUUGCUAUUUGACAUUUGCGUAACUGCGCAAUGUCAAAAAAUGUUGAAUAGCAGUAUUAUUUUUUCAUAUGAUUAGCUUUGUUAUGGCCUUUUUGACCCUCCUGUACUACAAUGAUCUUUGUUUUGAUGUGUUUAUCAUGAAUCGAUAAAAUUAUAUGUACUUGUAUUUGUUAAUUUUCUUGCAAAAUGUAUUUUCAGAUGUUGAAGACCGUUCUUAAUGUUUGUAUGGCCGUAUUUAGUGCUCCGCUGAGAGCUCGACUUGGUAUCUACACUAUCUAUUAUGUUCGUAAAGGACUUAUUACACUACUCAAAUCAUCGGGCAGACGUAUCGGGUGUAGGUGGAAAUUGACUGGUGAAAUCGUAGCCACCUCCACCCUAUGAGCUAUUUCAAUGUCCGAAUGUUGAAAACUUAUAAAUAUGGAAAUUGAGAUUUUUAAAUAUGGAAACACUUUUAUGAUUACGUUCGUUCCCGGAGCUUCCGCUCUCUCUUCUCAUAAUACAACACAAGAAAAAGACACUGCUGUUUCAUUUCAUGAAAUCAAUUUCAUCGCCCCGACACCCAAGGAUUUCUUCGCCAAUCCCGGUUACAUCGGGCCCCAUAAAUUGGGUCAUCAUCAAUUUAAGAGCCACGCUCUUGUCGGUGCAGCAUUUUCCAUGCUACUUUUUAGGGAAAAAUAGGGCAGUGGUUUCCCUCUUGCCUUCCGCCCCUGCAAUUUGCAUUUUUUUGGCAAAUUGGGUACUGUACUGUAAUCAGCAGUGAUCGGGAUAGGUAGUGCCAUUUGGGGUCAAUAACCCUGAAUGUUGUAGUUAAUAUUGAUAUGACAACUGAUAUUUUUGAGAUUGCGAGAUGACGUUACAUCAUUAUAUCGUCUUCUUCUGAUUUUUUAUUUAAUACAAACAAAAGUUAACUGUUCGAGAUAUCAUAAGUAAACAAAAAAUAAUAAUACAAAUACGUAACAUACAAAUUACUAGAAUAAUUCACAAAAUGAAAAUAAAUGUUUAAUAAAAAUACGAAUAUUGUGUUUCGAGAUUCAAGAUUUAGGAGGCAUAUCCAUGUUAAGACAAAUCUCGCAAAUGGCACUACCUAUCCCGAUUACUGGUAAUAACCCCUUAUACUAUAUCUUGGACUGGGUUAGAUAGUCAGUUUCUGGGCAAAGCCCUCUCAUUCCAUAUGUCCGCCAAAUUCAGUCCGUCAGUGAAACACUAAUACGGCCUUAUUUACAUUCGCCGUCCAAUUUCUAAUAUGCAUUUUCUUAUUAUCGUUUAUGUACCUCUAGAAUAUGUAAUUUUAUUCAACACCUUGUAGCGCAGGCCUUGUUCCGGACUCGGCUCCUAACUGGUAAGAUUGGCCGUCAUUGAAUAACCCACCUUUCACCUCCUUUCUUCUUGCUUUUGUCCUCCUUUUUCGCCUCUUUGCCUUUGGUUACCUAUUUGCAACUUCUUCCCACAACUGGGGGGUUAAAACGAAGGGUAAAACCCCCACAUCAAAGCAAUUCAUCUAAAAAAGCUAUUGCUUUUUCGCACACAAAUGUCAAAUAGCACUAUUGUGCUAUUGUGCUAUAAUAUAUAAUAAUAGCACUAUUGUGCUAUUUGACAUUUGUGUGCAUUGUGCAAAUGUUGCUGUAGUUAGUGUGUCUUAUACUUUACACUUACCGUAUUCUAAGAUGUUCAAUCUACUCUUCGUCAUUAUGCUUUAAGUUAUAGUAUUUUAAGUUGACAUUUACGUCCUCGACUUGAGGACUUUACUCACUGAAGUCGAGCAUAUCAUACUGCCAAUGGCCCCGAUUCCUGCAGACACCUCCUAAUUUUACUUUAAGUUAUACCCGUCGUUUUCUUAUCCGCCGAAAAGGAAAGGGACGGAUGAUUGACAGCUCUUAAUUUUACGAAGAAUGAGUAAAUGAAUGAAUAACCCAGGCGAAUCAAAAUGGUAUCUCGCUGGUAUGCAAACCGUUUGAAGUGUGAAAAAAUUUUCAAAAAAUUUUUUUUGCUUUAAAUUUGUGCUUAAAAAAGACGUGUGUUCCAUAAAUUUUAUGCUUGUCGAUUACCCGUCCCUUUCCUUUUCGGCGGAUAAGAAAAUGACAGAUAUAACUUAUAGAUGGUGUUAGCACCAAUAUAAAAAUAAUACGAAAACAAAUACUUCAUACCAUAUUGGAGUAAGCUUGAGUUAAGGUUGAGGCGCCGUAUAAGUAUACCAAUUUUGAGGUCGCCACCACUGACAACGUUGUCGAGGAAGGUUGGAGUUAACAUCUUAGAAUUCGGGUGUUAGUAUAUUGUGAAUUAAGAGUACCUAUCUUCGACGGAUCUUCUCGGAAGAAGACGAGUCCAGAACAAAAUGUAACAGUAACCAAAUCGUGUGCAAAAAUCGUUUUUGUGAUUAUACUUUUCAGAAGACGAAAAAGUAUUUUAUUGGUAGGUAUGUAAAUGUUUUACCUAGACUAUUAGUGACCUAUGAAUUUGAUGAUUUCGCCGUGCAAUGUUACGUGUACUUAUUAUUUAUUGUUGUACCUAUUUACUUGUGUAUUUUUAUGGUUAUAUUUACACUUAGUUAUUUAUUUUGCUAGGAUACCCAUUAUUGGAUGUGAUCCGUUAUAUAAAAUGUCUGUGUUUAUGAGUGCAAAUACUAAGAUAAGGGACGAAACCUACAGAAUAGUUUAAAUAUCUACUUAUGCAACUUUAGACUUAAACUGUUCCUCGUUUUGUAACAAACGGACAUUCGCCUUUUUAUGUUGACACGUAGGUAGGUAUUAAUGGCAUUUCAAAAGUAUAGAUUUUGCAUACAUUUUAGCAUUUUCGAAAUUCACGUAUUCUUACUUAAUUCAAAUUAGCCAUACCUACUUAUAAAAAACUUUGUAAAAACAUACACUAACACUUAGACUGUUUCAAACUUUACAUAGACGGUGUUGAAGUAGCAAUUAGGUGUAAAAAUGAGGAAGAUAUUUUUGUGUAAGUUUAAUAGAAUUAAGAAUUUUAGAUUUAUAGUGAGUUUUAACUGAACCUAGUGCUGCAAAGGACUUUAGGCUUUUAGCCCUAAAUUUCAGCCUACCGAGUCCUUUUUGGGACUAGACCAGUAAAAUAGGGUUUUAAAAGCUUCGUCAUUUUAAAAAACUUUUAGCCAUUUUUAAAGUAGUAGGCUUUAAAAAAGCCUAUAGCCUUUUUAAUGUAGUAGGCUUUUAAAAAGCCUAUAGCUUUUUUUAAAGUAGUAGGCUUUUUGGGACUGGAGUCUUUAUUAUAAUUUUUUAGUAAAAGCCUUUUUACCGAUUUCAAAAAAGGGAGUUAUCAAUUCGAUACGUAUGUAUAUAAUAUUAUUGGAGCUACAUAAAAUUCACACAUGAUAUUGGCCUUAAAAAUCGGUUCUUCUGGCGUAAGUAAUUUGUAUGGGGCUGACGGGACGUGCUGUUACGUAUUACUAUAAUUAUUAGACUAUUUCCAUACUAAUUGAUAGUAAGAAGUUAUUUUCAAUAUUCAUAGUUAGUUAGCUAGUUGUGCAUCUAACAAUAAAUCAAUUUUUCACAGUGUUUGUGUAGGUAUAUAUGUUUUUAAAGUUUGUUGUACCCACCCACACUUUUACUUUUUUUUACUUGAGAAAGGGACUGUAUGUAUAGCCUAAAUAACCUUAAGGUCUAAGAGCUUCAUAGGCUUUUUGAGCGUCUUAUUUUAUUAAAUUAGUCUUAAACAAGGUUAGGCCUUUUUAAGGCCUUUAGGCUUAUAACCAAUAGGCUUGAAUAGGCUUAACCCUAGCCUAGCCGCAAGUACUAAAUGGCUUUAUAGGUUUUUAGCCUACUAAGCUUUUUAUUUAACAGUCUAGUCUUAAAAUAAGGGCUAAAAGCCUAAAGUUCUUUGCAGCACUAACUGAACCGGUAUUGAGCGGAAGAAAAUCUCUUGGAAGUAAUGAUAUAUAGGUUAGUGUGCCUAGCAAAGUACGUCAGCACCCGUAGCAUACAUUCAAAAGAAACUUGGUUGUUUACAAAAAAUACAUUGACUACACAACUAUGAACUCAUUACUAGAGUACCUACGAAUCAUAUAUAGUUUCUAUCGUAAUGGACAGAACUCCUCAAUUUGAUUGGCUAAAAUAUCAAUAAAUUGACAACCAGUUGUCAAUCAAAGAUAGAAACUUAGUUACACAAUUAGUCACUAUUUUUUGUAAGUAUUAUGUAGCUCGGAUAUGACGCGCGCUGCGGUAAAUGCGCCGAUACACUUGGGUUAUUUGUCGCGAAGGCAAUAGCGUUAGGUGAUUUAUCGCAUCGCGCGAUAUCCGAGCAGCAUGUUACAGGGGCAGUCCGCUUAUCUCCGUUUCAGUGCAAGCACCCUAACAUGUCAUAAGGCUAUGGCGACAUAUCUUCGAUCGGAGGCCCAGUCUCUUUCAGUCUAUACUCUAGUCAAUUAGGUUAAGAUCUAGAAGCAACUUAACAUUCCAUAUUUUUGUGAAAAUUCCUUUGUCAAAAUAAAUAUAUUGUUGGUUUUG